UUUCAUGAUAAGUUGACAUUUUUGUAUUUUAAAUUUAUUUCAUAAUAUCAGUAACGUCAGAAUUUUUUUGACGGCACCCCUGACGAAGCCAGACGGCACCCUGGUUGAGAAAGGCUGUUCUAGACCCUAUCUACACUCUAAAAAUAUAUCUCAGUGUUUCAUGGUUGAUUCCCUCUUUUUGGACCAUGCAAGGAAAGGAGCAGGAUCCGUCCUUAUACCCUUAUUGGACAGAGAAACAGAUGUUUUACGAGUUCUUGCAACCAUCUUUAAGAAUGGGAAAGAACACAAAAGAAACUGCAUUUGAAUAUUUAAAAGUGUGUUUGGGCCUUUACUAUUUAUCCAUUUGUAUUUUCAAUACAUUCUUAAUCCAUUAUUCAUUACAAAAUAUUGAAUAUUUUAAUACGU